CCUACGGGCGGCAGCAGUGAGGAAUAUUGGUCAAUGGCCGAGAGCCUGAACCAGCCAAGUAGCGUGAAGGAAGACUGCCCUACGGGUUGUAAACCUCUUUUGUCGAGGAAUAAAACGAGUCACGUGUGCCUUUUUGCGUGUACUUGAUGAAAAAGGAUCGGCUAACUCCGUGCCAGCAGCCGCGGUAAUACGGAGGAUGCGAGCGUUAUCCGGAUUUAUUGGGUUUAAAGGGUGCGCAGGGGGAGGUGCAAGUCAGCGGUAAAAUUUCGGGGCCAAACCCCAUACUGCCGUUGAAACUGGAAGCCUUGAGUGCGCGAGAGGUAGGCGGAAUGCGUGGUGUAGCGGUGAAAUGCAUAGAUAUCACGCAGAACUCCGAUUGCGAAGGCAGCAUACCGGCGCGCAACUGACGCUGAUGCACGAAAGCGUGGGUAUCGAACAGGAUUAGAUACCCCAGUAGUC
rnacentral:rRNA from 1 species